rnacentral:rRNA from 1 species
AGAGAUGCUCAUUGGGUAUAAAGUGUGCGCAGGCGGUUUUGUAAGACAGAGGUGAAAUCCCCGGGCUCAACCUGGGAACUGCCUUUGUGACUGCAAGGCUGGAGUGCGGCAGAGGGGGAUGGAAUUCCGCGUGUAGCAGUGAAAUGCGUAGAUAUGCGGAGGAACACCGAUGGCGAAGGCAAUCCCCUGGGCUUGCACUGACGCUCAUGCACGAAAGCGUGGGGAGCAGACA